rnacentral:ncRNA from 2 species
AAUUAAAUAUGUUUUAUAGGUUAUCAGUAUGAAUUAAGAUAUUAAAAGGGAAGGAAGUGAAAAGCUUCCACAGCCCCCGCUACUGUAAUUGGGAUGAAAAUCGUAUACCACUGUUACUCAUGUAAUGGGAAGGACGAUUAGUAAGAUGAUCAAAAGUCAGGAGACCUGCCUAUAGAUAUAAUAUAGC